CGCACAUUGCGCCCUCUGGUAUUCCGGAGGGCAUGCCUGUCCGAGCGUCAUUACUGCCCUCAAGCCCGGCUUGGUGUUGGGUGCCGUCCCCUUGGGACGCGCCUGAAAGGCAGCGGCGGCACUGCGUCUGGUCCUCGAGCGUAUGGGGCUUUGUCACCCGCUCCGUAGGUCCAGCCAGCGCCUGUCGAACCCCCCAUCAUCCUUCUUAGGUUGACCUCGGAUCAGGUAGGGAUACCCGCUGAACUUAA
rnacentral:misc_RNA from 1 species